AAAAUGUUAAGCGCAUAUCUCAGAUCUAGUUGUAAAAGUAACAUUUUCUGGGUUGGUGUGAGACAACUUGUUUUGAAUCAGCGUAAGUAUCCUCUUGCUUUUUCCUAAUGUUUCUUGUGUACUUCAGAAGUAUGUAUAGUUUGUUGUUGGGUGGAGUGUUCUAUAGACACCUAUUAGGUCUAGUUGGUUAGAGUGUUGUUCAAGUCUUUUAUUUCCUUGUUGAUCCUCUGUCUAGUUGUUCUACCAUUCAGGCCCAACAUUAUAUCAUAUACAUAUUAUUUUAUAUAAUUGCUUUUUAAAUCAUUUCAGAGAAGAGACAAUACUUUUAUACUCGUUUUCAAAUAAAUAAAUGUCCAAUAUAAAUGUGGAUUUUUAAAAAUA
rnacentral:lncRNA from 1 species